rnacentral:rRNA from 1 species
AGAGUUUGAUCCUGGCUCAGAACGAACGCUGGCGGCGUGGCUAAGACAUGCAAGUCGAACGAGUUUCAGCGGGCUUGCCUGCUGAGAUUAGUGGCGGACGGGAGCGUAAUGCAUGGGCAACGUACCCCGGGCACAGGAAUAGCCCCUCGAAAGGGGGAGUAAUACCUGAUGACCCCGUUGGGCCGCAUGACCCGACGGGCAAAGCUCCGGCGGCCCGGGAUCGGCCCAUGUCGUAUCAGCUUGUUGGUGAGGUAACGGCUCACCAAGGCGAUGACGCGUAGCGGGACUGAGAGGUCGACCCGCCUCAUCGGGACUGAGACACUGCCCGGACACCUACGGGUGGCUGCAGUAACGAAUAUUGGGCAAUGGGCGCAAGCCUGACCCAGCGACGCCGCGUGCAGGAUGAAGUCCUUCGGGAUGUAAACUGCUGUCAGGGGUACGGAAGAUCUGACCUAUCCCAAAGGAAGCCUCGGCUAACUCCGUGCCAGCAGCCGCGGUAAUACGGAGGAGGCAAGCGUUGUUCGGAAUCACUGGGCUUAAAGCGCGUGUAGGCGGCUCGGCAAGUGCCCUGUGAAAUCCCCCGGCUCAACCGGGGAACUGCUGGGCAAACUGCCGGGCUUGAGGCAGGUAGGGGCGACUGGAACUCUAGGUGGAGCGGUGAAAUGCGUAGAUAUCUAGAGGAACGCCUGUGGCGAAAGCGGGUCGCUGGGCCUGUUCUGACGCUGAGACGCGAAAGCGUAGGGAGCGAACGGGAUUAGAUACCCCGGUAGUCUACGCCGUAAACGAUGCGCACUAGGUCUGAGGCUCUCUGACGAGUCUUGUGCCGAAGCAAAAGUGUUAAGUGCGCCGCCUGGGGAGUACGGCCGCAAGGCUAAAACUCAAAGGAAUUGACGGGGGCUCACACAAGCGGUGGAGCAUGUGGCUUAAUUCGAAUCAACGCGCAGAACCUUACCUGGGUUUGACAUGUACGGAUUAACCCCGGGAAACCGGGGCCACGCCCUUCGGGGUGGAACGUGCGCAGGUGCUGCGUGGCUGUCGUCAGCUCGUGCUGUGAAGUGUCGGGUUAAGUCCCUUAACGAGCGAAACCCCUGUCGCUAGUUGCCAGCGCGUCAUGGCGGGGACUCUAGCGAGACUGCCGGUGUUAAACCGGAGGAAGGUGGGGAUGACGUCAAGUCCUCAUGGCCCUUAUGCCCAGGGUUGCACACGUGCUACAAUGGGGCGCACAGAGCGAAGCAAAACCGCGAGGUCGAGCAAAUCGCACAAAACGCCUCUCAGUUCGGAUUGCAGGCUGCAACCCGCCUGCAUGAAGUUGGAAUCGCUAGUAAUCGCGUAUCAGCUACGACGCGGUGAAUGCGUUCCUGAGCCUUGUACACACCGCCCGUCAAGUCAUGGAAGCUGGGAGCACCCGAAGUCCGCUUAGCUAACCCGCAAGGGAGGCGGCGGCCGACGGUGAGCUCGGUGACUGGGACUAAGUCGUAACAAGGUA